UCCUUGUUCUAGCCAGCUCAGUGUGGACUUCCUUUGCAGUUGAUUUCUUCCUUCCUAUGGGAUCUCACAUGACCGAGGAACUUCUACAAAAGACAAAGGCCUUGUGCAUCAAGAAUAUACAGAUGUGCUGGAUACUCCCCUACUUCAAGGUCAGUGAGCCUAUAU